AUUGAACGCUGGCGGCAUGCCUUACACAUGCAAGUCGAACGGCAGCACGGGAGCAAUCCUGGUGGCGAGUGGCGAACGGGUGAGUAAUAUAUCGGCACGUGCCCAGUCGUGGGGGAUAACGCAGCGAAAGCUGUGCUAAUACCGCAUACGAUCUAAGGAUGAAAGCGGGGGAUCGCAAGACCUCGCGCGAUUGGAGCGGGCGAUAUCAGAUUAGCUAGUUGGUGGGGUAAAGGCCCACCAAGGCGACGAUCUGUAGCUGGUCUGAGAGGACGACCAGCCACACUGGAACUGAGACACGGUCCAGACUCCUACGGGAGGCAGCAGUGGGGAAUUUUGGACAAUGGGUGCAAGCCUGAUCCAGCAAUGCCGCGUGCAGGAUGAAGGCCUUCGGGUUGUAAACUGCUUUUGUACGGAACGAAACGGCCCUUUCUAAUACAGGGGGCUAAUGACGGUACCGUAAGAAUAAGCACCGGCUAACUACGUGCCAGCCGCCGCGGUAAUAC
rnacentral:rRNA from 1 species